CUUCAUUCUGGUAAUCAGUGAAGCAAAUUGCCCAUAUUUCCAGGCAGUUGAGCUUCAAACCCUGCUUCCCCCACAAAAAGGGAAAGCAAAUAGAUGAUUGAUCUACUAAGUACAAAGAAAAGAUAGACCAUAUAUUUAUGGAUCACCAAGUAGAUUUUUGCAUAAUUACAACAAGGAUGGGAAAUUAUUUGAUAUGUUUUGG
rnacentral:misc_RNA from 1 species